GACGAACGCUGGCGGCGUGCCUAAUACAUGCAAGUAGAACGCUGAAGGAGGAGCUUGCUCUUCUGGAUGAGUUGCGAACGGGUGAGUAACGCGUAGGUAACCUGCCUGGUAGCGGGGGAUAACUAUUGGAAACGAUAGCUAAUACCGCAUAACAGUAGAUGCUGCAUGACAUUUGCUUAAAAGGUGCAAUUGCAUCACUACCAGAUGGACCUGCGUUGUAUUAGCUAGUUGGUGGGGUAACGGCUCACCAAGGCGACGAUACAUAGCCGACCUGAGAGGGUGAUCGGCCAAAAUGGGACGGGGACACGGCCCAGACUCCUACGGGAGGCGGCAGUGGGGAAUCUUCGGCCAUGGACGGAAGUCUGACCGGGCAACGCCGCGGGGGUGAAAAAGGUUUUCGGGUCGUAAAGCUCUGUUGUAAGAGAAGAACGGGUGUGGGAGGGGAAAGUUCACACUGUGAGGGUAUUUAACAAGAAAGGGGCGGCUAACUACGU
rnacentral:rRNA from 1 species